rnacentral:lncRNA from 1 species
CCAGCAUCAAUCAUCUCUGAAAGUUUGUGAUUUUGGACUCAACAAAGAUGUAAUUUUUCUAACAACCAUCUUCUAAACAAAAAAGAAGCACUGUUGAUUCUUUGGUCCUUGGUAUCUUCUACAUAAGUUGUUCCUCUGAAGACGGUAGCUAGAGAGCUGCAAAAUAUCCAUUUCCUCCCAAAUCUUAAUCGCUUAUACGCCUACUCCCAAACGCUUUCUUGUUGUUAUUAUGAUUAUUCUUUGUACACAAAUCAAGUUGCAAUAGCUUGAAAGAAGUGUGCCUCCCUUGUUAUCAUUUUUAUAAUAAAAUCCUAUCACCGAAAAAGAAUCUUCAUGUUAUUAUGAUUAUGCGCAAAUCAAGUUCCAAUGCCUUGUACCAACAACUUUCAACAUCUUGCGGUAGACAUUGCAUCGUCUUGUACCAACUUUCAAUUGGUGUGGUUAUAAUGAUCCUGCUAAACCAUACUCCAACUGAAUGUUUCGUGUGGUUAUAAUGUUUCCGAUGAACCAAUCUCCAUGACACGAACAAAUAACAGAACUUUCCUGGUACCAAACAUUCCUUUUCGGCUGUCAAGAUAGCAGCCACCAUCGAACUCAGAUAAGCACAUUCUGUCAUCUGCCAAACGGUUCAGUAAUCUUUCCUAUUCCACCUAUUCCAUGUUGUUAACAACUCAUCGGACAAAAAUAUAUCUCAUAUAAAUCAAGGCUAAAUUUUUUGGUGUAAACUUGUGCUCCAACAGCCAUCAUAAUAUACUCAAACAGCUGUGACUGAGAUCUGGUAAAAAAAUCGAAAAAUUUAAAACAUAAAAUAAAACUUAAAGUACAUAAUCCCUAUCUUAUUUGUUCAAGUUCUAAGUUAAUUACUACCAUCAUAACAGUGAUUUACAAAAACUAGCGUGUUUACCUGCAGUUACAAUCCCUCAGAUCUGGUAGUACUGGCAAGUGGCCACCAUGUUUUCGUUAUAUAGAUCUGCAAUUUCAUCACUUUAUCAUAUGGAGAAUUUUUUAAUUGAUAAAGUGAAAUGAGAUGUGCAUUUACUCUUUAAUACU